rnacentral:rRNA from 1 species
GAGUUUGAUCCUGGCUCAGAUUGAACGCUGGCGGCAUGCUUUACACAUGCAAGUCGAACGGGCUUGGGGGCUUGCUCCCAAGUUAGUGGCGAACGGGUGAGUAAUACAUCGGAACGUACCGUGUAGUGGGGGAUAACGUAGCGAAAGUUACGCUAAUACCGCAUACGAUCUACGGAUGAAAGCAGGGGACCUUCGGGCCUUGUGCUAUACGAGCGGCCGAUGUCUGAUUAGCUAGUUGGUGAGGUAAAGGCUCACCAAGGCGACGAUCAGUAGCGGGUCUGAGAGGAUGAUCCGCCACACUGGGACUGAGACACGGCCCAGACUCCUACGGGAGGCAGCAGUGGGGAAUUUUGGACAAUGGGCGAAAGCCUGAUCCACCCAUGCCGCGUGUCUGAAGAAGGCCUUCGGGUUGUAAAGGACUUUUGUCAGGGAGCAAAACUUACUGGUUAAUACCCGGUGAGGCUGAGAGUACCUGAAGAAUAAGUACCGGCUAACUACGUGCCAGCAGCCGCGGUAAUCC